rnacentral:rRNA from 1 species
CCUACGGGUGGCAGCAGUGGGGAAUAUUGGGCAAUGGAGGAAACUCUGACCCAGCAAUGCCGCGUGAAUGAAGAAGGUCUUCGGAUUGUAAAGUUCUUUAGUCAGGGAAGAAUAAAAUGACGGUACCUGAAGAAUAAGCUCCGGCUAACUACGUGCCAGCAGCCGCGGUAAUACGUAGGGAGCAAGCGUUGUACGGAAUGACUGGGCGUAAAGGGUGCGUAGGCGGUUAUAAAAGUUAGAAGUGAAAUACCCAGGGCUUAACUCGGGUGCUGCUUCUAAAACUGUAAGACUUGAGUGCAGGAGGGGCAACCGGAAGUCCUAGUGUAGCGGUGGAAUGCGUAGAUAUUAGGAGGAACACCAGUGGCGAAGGCGGGUUGCUAGACUGUAACUGACACUGAGGCACGAAAGCGUGGGGAGCAAACAGGAUUAGAUACCCCUGUAGUC